ACCUGGCUGGCUCAGUCAGUAGAGCAUAUGACUCUUGAUCAUGGGUCAUGAGUUCAAGCCCCACAUUGGGUA
rnacentral:tRNA from 1 species